CAGCUUAGUGGUUACACAGCAGCUAGCUAUCCUAUCCCACCUGCAGGUAUCCUUGUCAAUGCAACUUUGAUUUGUCAGGCAGCUGGUUGAGAUCCCUUGAAGUCAAGAUGAGCCAGGUCUGGGAGGAUUCCUGAUGAUAUCACUUUGUUACCCAAAUUUCCUUCCCCGUGGCCAGUGACUGGGUAACAAGUGAGCAUGGGACAGUGCGGAUGAUUUGAACUCAAGACGAGAUCCACUAGAAGCAUGAAGGAACAAAUGGUGGUGUGCCAGGAGACAGCCCCUAGAAAGUUAAUCCUACUUUGAAGACCUCUAAUUUCCCAGUCCUCAGCCAUAGCUGAUUGGACCAGGAAUAGGUGUCUGAAUGAAUAAACCACUGACUCUCAGAAAUUUGAACUGAAAGAGACAGAGCUACUUGAGCUGAAGAGUCAUAUGGAGGCUCCAUGGAAGUAGUGGUUUUCAGCAAAGCAUAAGAUAAUCAAACAUCAGAUACCCUUGGAGGAGAGAAUGACAAAUGGAUAGAUGUACAGAGUGAAAUGAAGUCAUAAGAAAGAGAGAUGCAGAGAUGGCAUUAUGUGAAGACAUUAACCUUGGUUACCAAAUUAAAUAUCCAGGCCCUGGACAGCCAACUACAUUUGCCUCAUCUUUUUUUUUUUUUUCAUUGACAAAUAAAAAAUAUGUUAGGCCGGGUGCGGUGGCUCACACCUGUAAUCCCAGCACUUUGGGAAGCCAAGGAGGGUGGAUCGCCUGAGCAAACUAGAAAAAUAGUCCAACUGUCACUAUCCUCAAGUGCUUCAACUCUACUAGAAAAUGG
rnacentral:lncRNA from 1 species